AACAAUACUGUUGACCUUGAACGGUUGAACCAUUAGGAAAAGAUUACGCUGAAAUCUAAUGGAGAGAAAAACAUCACAAAGUUCUUCUGGUAUUGAAAUUUCAGGCUUUCACAUCCACUAAGGGUCCGAGUGGUGGUGAGUUCAACUCUUCUCAAGUUCAAAUGCUAAAGAGAUUUUUGUCCCUUUGAAUGAAAAUCGAACUAAUUCGUAUUUCUAACUUGCAAGCAAUCCAAAGUACAGCAAGAAUAACAGGCAAGGGUCCCCAGAGUUGUCGGAGAGAGAAAUUGACAUCAACAAAGGCUCUAGGGGCAAGAAAAGGAAAGAGAAAAUGACUUGAAACCAAUUGGUCCCCCAUGAUGUUCUCCUUCAAGACAAAAGGUGAUUGCAAAAAGAUCCAAACCCCAUAAACAAUCAAACUCCAGGAAGAACUAAGAAAGGUUUUUCUGAAUACUCCUAUAAAAGACUUAAUAAACUGGUGGAUAAACACCAGUACCAAAUCACAUCACGAAGAUGACUAUGCAAUCAUCAAAACAUACUGAAUAGCUUUUUCUCUCUUUGGUUGCCAAUGGAGUGAAGUAGGAUUUACAGAGAGCAGCCUAUCAGAGGGUGUCCAUCACAACGGGCAAGGUAAGAAGCUCCGUAGACUGUACUAUGGCCAACUAAAAGAGGCUAUGCAAAAGCAUGGAUGGCAAAAGGUUCCUUGAUCGCACAAAAACAGCACCCAUGACCGCCCCAAGCAAUA